AAUGUGGAUUUAAUGACUAAUGAACUGAUAUAAUACCCACCACAGAGUAAAGUUAGUAAUUCAACAAAUAAUGUGAAAUAUUCUUUGAGAUACACUGGCACAAUUUAUUGAGCUAUGUGCCUGGAACCAUGCCCCUUAUAAAAAACUCAUAAGCAUGGGACAGGACAGAGAUUACUGAGUGAAACACUUGCUCGUGUGUUGAUGUGUGAGAGAGCCCAGCGCUUGGACAUCUUCACGUGUGCCCUGGAGGCAGAGUAUAUUCUAUACUAGAAUGUGACCUCUGUGAUUGCUUGACCAGUGGAAUGUCUUUCUCUCUCUGGAGUUCUUACUUUUCUCUCUUUGAAGACAAUCACCAGUCAGCAAGUUAAGCCCAUGGAAAGAGCUCAGCCAACAGGUAGGACCUGAUCUUGUGACUUGAUGUUGGCCAUCCACUAUGAGUCCAGACUAACCCUCCACAGAACUGGACUAUUUCUCUUUUCCCUCCUGACCUGCCAUUGGCUUCCCAGAUUGCCAUGAUACUCAGGUCAUUUGGGUUAUGAUAAAAGUAUGGGAUUUG